UACGGAGGGUGCAAACGUUGCUCGGAAUCAUUGGGCGUAAAGCGUGCGUAGGCGGUCCAGCAAGUCGGGUGUGAAAGCCCUCGGCUUAACCGAGGAAGUGCAUUCGAAACUACUGGACUUGAAUACUGGAGAGGAUCGCGGAAUUCCCGGUGUAGAGGUGAAAUUCGUAGAUAUCGGGAGGAACACCAGUGGCGAAGGCGGCGAUCUGGACAGAUAUUGACGCUGAUGCACGAAAGCGUGGGGAGCAAACAGG
rnacentral:rRNA from 1 species